GCCUGGCGUGACAGUCGGUCUGCGCGGGCGCAGUGGCGGCAGCCGCUACACACGCGUGGCUGGAAGCCCACGGUCUGCAGGCGAGUUGAGGUUUCAGGUGCAUCUCGCAGGAGCCACAGGAGGAGACGGAAGGUUUCGUGAAUGUCCCCUCAGAGUUGAAACAGCGCACGAGCAGUGAGCAGGGCAUAGGGAGUUGGGGCUCACCUAGAAAGUUCACGCUCUUCAUGAAUCGACAGACUCUUCAGCAGACAGCAGGAUGGGCUGCGCCAGGACACAGAUGACCGCUGGAUGUGAGAAAAAAAGGGUCAGCACGUGAGCCACCAGGUCAUUCCCGCUUCGGCCGUGGGGCCCCGCUCAGACGCGCGCCCGUCUCCUGGUGAAAUCCUGGAGGCUGUCCCUUCCACUGUCCUGUCUGCACGAAGAGGACACGGGGGUCGCCUUCCUGGGAGAAGGGAGUCGUCUGGAUGGCUGGUCCCCGGAGGGGUGACUUACUGCAUGAACAUCGAAAUCAGAUGAACCCUGACGGCGACAGCGAUGGUAAUAGCGCCACUGGCGGGGUGGAUGGGGGGGGGGUAGCGGGCAAAGCCCGUGGGGCACAUGUCUUUCUUAAACCCUCCUCAUAAAUCUAAGAUCUCACUGUCACCCACGAGGGGACGGAGCCCGGGGCCUCGGGACCUGGGCUGGUUCUCUGGGUGAGAGGAGGAGGAGGCUUCCUGGGGGGCCGUGUGCCUUUGGCCCACGUCCUUCAUGGUGGCUCGGCCCUCCGGGGGCAGCUGAUCGAAUGGGCCUUUCUGUGUGGACAUCACUUGUUCCCAGUGGAGCCCUGGGGGCUAAAAAUAACCAUGUGUUUUCUGUUUUAUCCGAAAAAGAGGAACUGUGCAGUGUGUUUCAUAACAUCUACUAUUUUUGAAAACCUGAAUUUUUUCCACUUUUUUUUAAAUGCCUUUGGGGCUGUCCUUGGAGGGAGAGGCUUUGGUGCAGGUUUCACCAGGGGUCCCUCUGUUUGGUCGUCCAGAUCCUCAGGAAAAGGCUCCGGGAGAAGGGAACUGUCCCCCCCCCCCCCCCCCGGACACAUGGCCAAGGGGUGGACUUAACACAGGGGUCAUGGGAGGGGAGCCAGAUCUCAGGGGCACCUGAGACCUCAUAGCACAGGCCGGAGGGGAGAAGGGACCGGCCCAGGGGCUGGGCAGGCCUGUUCCGUGUACAGGGGGAGGCGUGCUGACCCCGGCCACGUGCUGCCUCCACGACAGCCAGGCCUCGUGGUCCAGGCUCAGCGUCCAUCUUUCCCCUGACCCCGCUCUCCCAGAGUUGGGGCAAGGCCUGAUGCCCCUAAGAUGAGCCACGAGCCACAAGCCCCCGGGUCCCGGUUGUUCUUGGGCUCCUCUGUUGUUGGCAGCCAGGCCAAGAUGGUCGUCCUGGGGUCUGCUGGUGCUAGGGUGGCUCCCUGCCCUUCUCACUGAGACUCUGGAGCGUUAGGAAAUCAUGGAAAGAGCAAACACAGUGAAAGACACGUUGCCCGCAGCCCAGGAAGCUGGAAUGUGUUGUGGCAUCCCUGAGACCACGCGGGUGUUUCCGGGUGAGCCAAGGGCAGAGGGACCAAGCGGGUGUGGGAGUGGCUGGACGCCAAGAGGACCUGCCCACAGCUGCAACCCAAGGGCAGAGUGGGCCCUUCACACGUGACAUGGCUGCCAGCAUCUGCAGAGGUGAGCAGAGGCAUGGGGCGGAGCAGGAGGUGUUAGAAUGUGUGGCAAGAGCACGAUUCCUCUAGAGUCGGCAGUAAUUUGGAGACUGGAACGGGAUAGACUGACACCUGAUCUCAGUAGACAAGCCAGGAGCAGACCCUUACGGGAAGGCCGAGGCUGUGUCACCAAGCUUACAGAAACCGUGAGGGAGGGAGGGCAGCUGUGCCUGGAGAGCAGAUUAAUUCUGGGCUGCAGGACUCUGGGUAAGUUAAAGAAAAAGUGCAUCUGCAUCUUUCUAAACCCACUGUGGGGAGUUCCCAUUGUGGCACAGCCAAGACAAAUCCAACUAGGAAC